CCAAACAAGGGUAAAUGAAAGAUGACUCGUUGGGGAUAAAUUGCUUUAUCAGAGCAAUUAUCCAAGAGACAUAUUACAAGUUAUUGGGUGGUAUACUCAAAACGAAGGAAUAUCAAUACCGAAUAUUGGAUAAAGAUAACCAACAAAGAGGGGAUUACAUCUACCGGUUACUAGGUAGAAAACCAACAGAAGAGAGUAACCGUCAUCGGUUAGGAUGAAC
rnacentral:lncRNA from 1 species